rnacentral:rRNA from 1 species
ACAAGCAGCGGAGCGUGUGGUUUAAUUCGUUGCUACACGAAGAACCUUACCUGGGUUUGACAUAUAGGUUGUAGGGAACUGAAAGGGACCGACCUUCGGGAGCCUAUACAGGUGUUGCAUGGCUGUCGUCAGCUCGUGUCGUGAGAUGUUCGGUUAAGUCCGCUAACGAGCGCAACCCUCGUCGUAUGUUAUAUGUGUCAUACGAGACUGCCGGUAUAACGUGGAGGAAGGUGGGGAUGACGUCAAGUCAGCAUGGCCCUUACAUCCUGGGCUACACACACGCUACAAUGGGUGAUACAAUAGGUUGCAAUAGAGCGAUCUGGAGCCAAUCCCAAAAAUCAUCCUCAGUACGGAUUGCAGGCUGCAACUGCCUGCAUGAAGUUGGAGUUGCUAGUAAACGCAGGUCAGCACACUGCGUUGAAUACGUUCUCGGGCCUU